rnacentral:rRNA from 1 species
ACUCCUACGGGAGGCAGCAGUGGGGAAUAUUGCACAAUGGGGGAAACCCUGAUGCAGCCAUGCCGCGUGUGUGAAGAAGGCCUUCGGGUUGUAAAGCACUUUCAGCGAGGAGGAAAGGGUGUGUGUUAAUACCAUACAUCUUGUGAUCGUUACUCGCAGAAGAAGCACCGGCUAACUCCGUGCCAGCAGCCGCGGUAAUACGGAGGGUGCGAGCGUUAAUCGGAAUUACUGGGCGU